UACGUAGGGGGCGAGCGUUGUCCGGAAUUACUGGGCGUAAUGGGUGCGCAGGCGGCGGUUUAAGUCAGAUGUGAAAUACCCGGUCUUAACCUGGGGGGUGCAUCUGAUACUGGAGCGCUUGAGUGCAGGAGAGGAAAGUGGAAUUCCUAGUGUAGCGGUGAAAUGCGUAGAUAUUAGGAGGAACACCAGUGGUGAAGGCGACUUUCUGGACUGUAACUGACGCUGAGGCACGAAAGCGUGGGGAGCAAACAGG
rnacentral:rRNA from 1 species